UACGGAGGGGGCAAGCGUUAUUCGGAAUCAUUGGGCGUAAAGGGCGCGUAGGCGGCUUGGCAAGUCAGGGGUGAAAUCCCUCGGCUCAACCGAGGAACUGCCUCUGAAACUGUCUGGCUUGAGGCCGGGAGAGGGUAGUGGAAUUCCCAGUGUAGCGGUGAAAUGCGUAGAUAUUGGGAGGAACACCGGUGGCGAAGGCGGCUACCUGGACCGGUUCUGACGCUGAGGCGCGAAAGUGUGGGGAGCAAACAGG
rnacentral:rRNA from 1 species